rnacentral:rRNA from 1 species
UACAGAGGGUGCAAGCGUUAAUCGGAUUUACUGGGCGUAAAGGGCGCGUAGGUGGUUAUGUAAGUGAGAUGUGAAAGCCCCGGGCUCAACCUGGGAACUGCAUCUUAUACUGCGUAGCUGGAGUGCAGUAGAGGGUAGUGGAAUUUCCGGUGUAGCGGUGAAAUGCGUAGAUAUCGGAAGGAACACCAGUGGCGAAGGCGGCUAUCUGGACUGACACUGACACUGAGGCGCGAAAGCGUGGGGAGCAAACAGG